CCCUUAGAUGUUCUGGGCCGCACGCGCGCUACACUGAUGCAUUCAACGAGCUUAUCCUUGACCGACAGGUCCGGGUAAUCUUUGAAUCUGCAUCGUGACGGGGAUAGAUUAUUGCAAUUAUUAAUCUUCAACGAGGAAUGCCUAGUAGGCGCAAGUCAUCAGCUUGCGUCGAUUACGUCCCUGCCCUUUGUACACACCGCCCGUCGCUCCUACCGAUUGGGUGUGCUGGUGAAAUGUUCGGAUCGGCCGUUUGUCGCGGUUUCCGCGUCAUGUGGCUGAGAAGUUCAUUAAACCCUCCCACCUAGAGGAAGGAGAAGUCGUAACA
rnacentral:rRNA from 1 species